rnacentral:rRNA from 1 species
GACGAACGCUGGCGGCGUGCUUAACACAUGCAAGUCGAACGGAAAGGCCCUGCUUUUGUGGGGUGCUCGAGUGGCGAACGGGUGAGUAACACGUGAGUAACCUGCCCUUGACUUUGGGAUAACUUCAGGAAACUGGGGCUAAUACCGGAUAGGAGCUCCUGCUGCAUGGUGGGGGUUGGAAAGUUUCGGCGGUUGGGGAUGGACUCGCGGCUUAUCAGCUUGUUGGUGGGGUAGUGGCUUACCAAGGCUUUGACGGGUAGCCGGCCUGAGAGGGUGACCGGCCACAAGGGGACUGAGAGACGGCCCAGACUCCUACGGGAGGCAGCAGUGGGGAAUAUUGCACAAUGGGCGGAAGCCUGAUGCAGCAACGCCGCGUGUGGGAUGACGGCCUUCGGGUUGUAAACCGCUUUCGCCUGUGACGAAGCGUGAGUGACGGUAAUGGGUAAAGAAGCACCGGCUAACUACGUG